rnacentral:tRNA from 1 species
CAGAUUAUAGCUUAUUUAAAGCUUUUUACUUACACUAAUAGGAAAACUAUUUAAUGUUUAAUCUGA